rnacentral:rRNA from 1 species
GAUGAACGCUGGCGGCGUGCUUAACACAUGCAAGUCGAACGGUGAAGCAGAGCUUGCUCUGUGGAUCAGUGGCGAACGGGUGAGUAACACGUGAGCAACCUGCUCCUGACUCUGGGAUAAGCGCUGGAAACGGCGUCUAAUACUGGAUAUGAGCUGCGACCGCAUGGUCAGCAGUUGGAAAGAUUUUUCGGUCUGGGAUGGGCUCACGGCCUAUCAGCUUGUUGGUGAGGUAAUGGCUCACCAAGGCGUCGACGGGUAGCCGGCCUGAGAGGGUGACCGGCCACACUGGGACUGAGACACGGCCCAGACUCCUACGGGAGGCAGCAGUGGGGAAUAUUGCACAAUGGGCGAAAGCCUGAUGCAGCAACGCCGCGUGAGGGAUGACGGCCUUCGGGUUGUAAACCUCUUUUAGCAGGGAAGAAGCGAAAGCGACGGUACCUGCAGAAAAAGCGCCGGCUAACUACGUG